rnacentral:rRNA from 1 species
AUUGAACGCUGGCGGCAGGCCUAACACACGCAAGUCGAGCGGAUGAAGGGAGCUUGCUCCUGGAUUCAGCGGCGGACGGGUGAGUAAUGCCUAGGAAUCUGCCUGGUAGUGGGGGAUAACGUCCGGAAACGGGCGCUAAUACCGCAUACGUCCUGAGGGAGAAAGUGGGGGAUCUUCGGACCUCACGCUAUCAGAUGAGCCUAGGUCGGAUUAGCUAGUUGGUGGGGUAAAGGCCUACCAAGGCGACGAUCCGUAACUGGUCUGAGAGGAUGAUCAGUCACACUGGAACUGAGACACGGUCCAGACUCCUACGGGAGGCAGCAGUGGGGAAUAUUGGACAGUGGGCGAAAGCCUGAUCCAGCCAUGCCGCGUGUGUGAAGAAGGUCUUCGGAUUGUAAAGCACUUUAAGUUGGGAGGAAGGGCAGUAAGUUAAUACCUUGCUGUUUUGACGUUACCAACAGAAUAAGCACCGGCUAACUUCGUG